GCCAAAGUGACAGUAGUACCAAAGACAGCAAGGCAAAAAUUCAGUUCAAGUCAAUACCUUUAACCAAACUCAAUGACGAUGGUGGACAAGAAGUUGAUUCUUCUUGUCUGAGCUCACUGGCUCAGGCAUCAAGCAGUGACUUUGAACCCUCUGGAUCCACAACAGUGUCACAAGUAGAAGAGAUCAGACAACAUCUGCAAUCCCUGGAAGCAGAUUACCAGGAACUUGUUGCCCUUCUUUCGAGGCAUAGCGGGACUGUACCGGUACAUCGAAAGUUAAAGCAGAAAGGGCAGAACACAGUGAAACAUGGCAAACUGUGGGCACAGCUUAAAUUACAGCGGCAGAAAGAUAUUUGUACAGUGCAGAGAAGGUUUGCUCAUCUGGAAGCCCAUGUACUGCUGCUGGUUCGAAAUAUAGCUCACUUGACCGAAGAGAUUGGUUCUCAGAAUUCCCUGCUACAAAAAAUACAUUCGUUCCAACUUG